rnacentral:piRNA from 1 species
GGAAACAUAUAGUAAAACCAGGCUCCACA